CCUCCUGCUUUGGGAUCCUGUGUUCCUGACACUAACCAGUAUCUAACCAUCCAACCUCUGGAAACCAGCAUCUACUCUUCACUUGAAAGGUUAUAUUGAACGUCAACAUCAAGAAAAUCAGAUCUGAAGAGAUGGAUACAGAAGUGGUUUGUGCUUAGUGAAAGAUAUACCCAGAAGUGCUGUGAACCACCCAAGAAAACCGUCAACAACAUCUGGUAGAUAUAGAUAAGACCAAAUGUGCAACCGUAGAAGUCACAAGUCACCCUGUGCUUCCUAUCACUGUGAGCCUGGGGCCUCGGUGUCCUGGGGCUUUGUGGGAUACAGGCACCUUGUCAGACCUCCCAUCAGGACCUCAUCACCUCCUCCCUCUGCACAGCAGCCCG